UGCUCUCGGCUUCCGCUCUUUCUGCCCAGCUCGGCUCUCCCGCCCGCCCUCGCCCCAGGUGCCACCCUCCUUUCGCUCUCUCUGCCCCGCGACCUCCCGCCCUUGGCGCCGGUGCCACCGCUUUUCGGCCCAGCUCGGAUCCUCCCGCCCGGCCUCGGCUACUUCCGCCUCGCCGCGGCUUCCCCCGCCCAGCUUCGGCUUCCUUCGCGCCUGGCUUCGGCUCUUUCCGCCCAGCUUCGGCUUCCCCACCCGUCCUCGACUCGCGUCCCACCAUGGCGCUGCGUUUCCCUCUCUGUCUCCGACCUGAAACUUCCCCUCCCUCCGCGCCUGGCCAUAGCUCGGCUUCUCCGCCGCCCUUCCUGCUGCUUUUAGGCCCGGCUCGGCUCCUCCCGCCUGGACUUGGCUCCUCCCAUUGGCCUUGGCUCUUCCGGUUCCUCUCUGCCGACCUCGGCUCCCACCACCCGUCUUUGGCUCCCCUCGCCCAGCCUUGGCUUCGCCGCCGCUCCUCGGCUCAGUUCGUUCAGUUCGGAUUUCUCCGCCCGGCCUCGGUUUUCUCCGAUUUCGCUGCUUCAGUUCGGCUCUUUCCGCCUCUCCCCAUGGCACCCUGGGCUCGGCGUGGCUCUGGGUCUGGUUGGGUCUUCGUCUUAGUCCGGGGGAGUUGCACUAAUUGAGUACCCGUCAUUAUGAUAUGGAGGUGCCACUGUCUCCACAUCCUGGCCAAUCUGUUACCUUUUUAAAAGAAAAAAAUUCCUGAUCAAUGAAAAAGGGAAUCUCAAUGUAUUCCCAUUUUUCUUAGGAGAGCCACUUGUAUUUCUGUGAACUGUUGUUAGCAUUUGCUCCUUUCUCUAAUUAACUCUUGGUCUUUCUCUUACUGCUUCGUAGGAGUUCUUGAAUACUAACAAAUUAUUAUGAGCAAUGUUCAAGCAUGGAAAUAAUUUUUGAAAAAAUGUACAGGAACAUUCAUCAGUAACAUUUUACUAUACUUUGUCAUAUACAUCUCUGUAUCACCCAUCAAUUCAUCUUUUUAAAUGCAUUUUGAAGUAGGAUGCAGAUAGCUUACAUAUCAUUAAUUAGAGUUCAAAAUUUGGGGCUGGAAGAUCUAAGGUGGCUCAUCCCCUGGCUAGCAAUGUGGUGCUGGUGAGUUGGUUACUGGUUACGGGGCUGCUUGAGUCUCCUCAUGCCAUGGCGGAUGGCUUCUCCUAGAGAAGGAGCAAUAGAAGAGCAAGGAGGAAGCUUCAGUGUGUCUUAUGACCUAGCCUCAGAUGUCACAUGCAGCAGUGCUGUAUUGAUCAUGUGGGUCAUGUAUGAUUCAAUAUUGGAGGUGGGGUACACAGGACAGGAAUAUCAGGUGGCAAGGGUCUUUGGUGAGCAUUCUGAAGGCUAGUCAACACACCCACCUUUCCUUCAGACCACCUCUUUUCAUCAGCCCGGAAUCUCUUUUUUUGUGCUGGAGUGCCUGAUCUGAUUGUAGCUGUUUGAGGCAUCUGGAAUUCAUGGCCGGGUUUAGAACAACUUGGAAGGUCUCCUUUCCCCCUCUUCUCUUUCUUUUACCCUUCUCCCCUCUCUCUUCCUCUCAGCCUCACCCCCAGCUCUAGUCUUUCUUUGCUUCUAGUGAGCGAGCAGGAGAUGCUCUGAGAGUCAACUGGGAAUGCAGCUGAUAAGGGUCUGCUGGGUGCAGGAAAUGUUGGAAGGUUUGCUUGCUGGGCUGUGUCACCUCCUGUAUUAUGGGAGCUUAGAGUAUUUGCCAGCUUGUCAGGACUACCAUCGUCUUCCAUGUUCUGAGACUGGAGUACCCAACAUUCUCCUAGCAGGGGACACUUGGCUUGAUAGGGCUCUAUCAAUGUAUAUUGUGAGGGUAGAGAUAUUCAUAUUGCAAGGGGAGGCUGCAAGAGUUGCCUGCUGGGGUUAAGAUUAUUCCUUGUGUUUGGGAUAAAGGAGGGGUCACCGCAUGGGCAGUCAACUCAUGUUGGGGGAGACAGGGGAUUUGCAUUCUGGGCUCCCCUUCUCAUUUAUGUUAAGGGUGUUGCUUGCUGAUGCUUCUAACAACUCUUACUUUGGGAUAGUGGGAAGAGAGUUAGUUUUCUGGGGUAUGAGUUUGUCACUUACAUUGUAGAAUCUGGGGGGCUGCCUGUUGAGAUUCUGACCAUUGCUUGUUUUGGGUGUCAUUGCUGGGGAUACUUAUUUGUAGUCUUGGGAAGACAACGGAUGCAUGUUGCAGCGGUAUUGGUUAAGAAUGGUGGCAUUUGCUGGAGUUCUUUUUUUUUUUUUUUUUUUGAGACGGAAUCUUGCCCUGUCUCCCAGGCUUGAGUGCAGUGGUGCAAUGUUGGCUCACUGCAACCUCUGCCUCCCGGGUUCAAGUGAUUCCCCUGCCUCAGUCUCCCGAGUAGCUGGGAAUACAGGCACAUGUCACCACGCCUGGCUAAUUUUUGUAUUUUUAGUAGAGACAGGGUUUCACCAUAUUGGUCAGGCUGGUCUCGAACUCCUGACCUCGUGAUCCACCUGCCUCGGCCUCCCAAAGUGCUGGGAUUACAGGUGUGAGCUACCGCACCCGGCCUGGAGUUCCUUUCUUGAGUGUGUAGAGGAUUGAGGGUUGAUUGGUUUUUGGAGUUUCCAUCAUCAUUAAUGUAGGAACGAUACGGGGAAUCACUUGGCGAAGCUUUCGUUGUCUCUGAUGUUGGAGGUAACUGGAGGGCCAGUGCCUGGGGCUUCCAUUUUUUUCUAGUGUUGAAGGGUCAAGAGCAUUUAUCAGAUAGAGGCCUUACUGUGUAUUGUUUGGGGAGAGGAUGGAGGGAUUAUUGGAUGGGGUUCCACUUAUCUCUAGUUGGGGAGGGUCAUAUUCUGGGUCUCCCCUUGCCUGUACUGUUGGUAUAGACUGGGUAGGCCAUUGGGCUUGGAGUCCCCAUUCUUUAGUGUUGAGGGGCAUCUGAAUGGGUCAUUUCAGGGACUUCUGUUAUAGUUUUGGAUGUGACUGAGGGGUGCUUGCUGGAGUAGUUUUGGGAUGAUGGAGGUCUUCAUGUUUGGACUCCAUCUUUUGUGUUUGUAAGUGAUUGAGGGGUGGAGAUCUGACAUCCUGUUGCCUUUUGUUUUGGGGGUGACUGGUGGUUACCUGCUAGGGCUUCUGUCAGCUCUACUGCUGUAUGCAGAUUGUGAGAAUCACUUGCUGGGGCUUCCAUAAUCUCUAGUCUUAGGGGGACUGGGAAAUGGCUUGCAAUGCCUUCUAUUAUCUCUAGUUUUAAGGGACCAGUUCAAUGUGAUUUAAAACUCUUUUUAUUUGAAAAAAAAAAAAAUUAGGGCUGGGCGUGUUGGCUCACGCCUAUAAUCCUAACACUUUUGGGAGGCCAAGGCAGAUGGAUCACUUGAGGUCAGGAGUUCGAGACCAGCCUGGCCACCAUGGCAAAACCCCGUCUCUACUAAAAAUACAAAAAUUAGCCGGGAGUGGUGGUGCACGCCUGUAGUCGCAGCUACUCGGAGGCUGAGGCAAGAGAAUCGCUUGAACCCAGGAGGCGGAAGUUGCAGUGAGGAAAGUUCUCCAAGUCCCCACUCGACCCAGGAAGUCCAGCUGGCUUCACCUCUCUUUGAGUUUGCAGGAUGGCAGGCUUAUGGGUGUCCUAUGAUCUGCCAUUUGUUUGGAAGCUGGAGAACCAAGAAAGCUGGUAGUCUUGCUCCAGUCCAAGUUCAAAGACCUGAAAACAGGGGAGCCAACAGUGUAAACCCCAGUGUGAAGUCCAAAGGCUUGAGAACCGGGAGGGCCAAUGGUGUAAGUUGCGAGUCUGAGUCUGAAGGCUGGAGAACCAGAAGCACCCAUAUCUGAGGUGGGGAGAAGACCGAUGUUCCAUUUCAAGUACCUUUUGUGGUUUCCCUACAUCCUGUUCACAAUUCUGUGAGUAGUCCCUUGAUAUAAACUGCGCUUGAAUCAUCCCAGUUGACGUGUGUGUCAACUGUUUCCUGCUGGGGCUCUUGAUAUUCCAACUUCCUGAACAUGUAAGGAAAAGCCCUAACAAUGACCUACAAAGCCCCACAAGAUCAGGAUCUGCAUCUCCGAUUAUCCUCUAAUCCCUGAAUCCCUAUUUUACCUGAGUCAUACUGGCCUCUGUGCUGUGGGUCUUUGCAUGCCAACAGUGCUCUUGCCACAGAAAUUCACAUGACUCAAGUUCCUACUCAAGUCUGUCCUCAAAUGCACCUUAACUGGGGGCCUUUCCCUUCCUAUACUAUAUAAAAUGGCAAGUCCCCGGCCCUC